UCAGUAUUAGCCAAUGCUGGCAAGAGUGAACUAGCUAACUGGAAUCACGAAUGUGUCAUUUGUGAUAACGUAAAGGAAAAAUAAUGAUGUCACUUUACUACUAGUGUUGUCAAAAUCUGGUGCCAGAAGACUCGGUAAGGCCAGAGACGCAAGUGUUAGUCAUCUUGAUCAGGCGUAAAGGGUGUGUAGGCGGCUUUAAAUAUUAAUAAUUCAAUCCACAAUCAUAUAAAAGUCACCGUGAGAUAACACUUAGUGUAGGGUUGAUAUCUGUAAAUACUUAGUAUAAUACUAAUUAGCGAAUGUUCUUAUCCAAAUAAUGAUUGACGCUGAGAAACGAAGGGGAGGAACGACAAUACGAUUAUAUACCCUGGCAUCCCUCUCUGUCAACGAUGAAUGGUAGUUGCUAGUUCUAAUGAGUUAGCGGUGAUGCCAACACGUUAACCAUUCCGCCUUGUGAGUACAA
rnacentral:rRNA from 1 species